rnacentral:lncRNA from 1 species
UUUAUGUCCAAAUGUAACUUUGCAUUUGAUGGAUGAGUUCUGGUACCAUAGAUGGAUGUAUCCUCUAGAACCUCUAUUAGCUAAUUGAAACUAUACUUUUCUAUGAAGAGCUUUAUAUCCAUGUAAUUCACUCCCAAAGUAAGGCUGAAGAAACACUGAAGAGAUGAAGAGUGGACUCUAAAAGGAGAGAACUGUGGCAGUGCCAAAGCCAGCUCCAGGAGUGAGAGGACUAAUUUGGCAGCUGUCAGGAUAGAUCAGCUCAUGGAGUGAGAAAUGGGGUGAUGGGAGGGAGCUCUGUCUGCAAGGACAAAGCUGGACAUGUCAAAACCUGUCGAAGAUUAAGAUGUCUUUCCAGCAACCCAAGGGUUGUUCCCAGGCCUGUUUCAACUGUACCAGGAGCUUCAGGAGCUGGCAGUGUGGGACGACCAGCGAGAAAGCUACCGUCAUCUGCAAAGGAUGGGCGUGGUUUUCAAAUAAAGAAUCACUUUCCAGGCAAAGAGAGCUUCUUACCACUCUAGAAGGUGAUCCUGGGAACUGAUUCUUAGAAUAAACAUGAG